CACGUAGGGUGCAAGCGUUUGUCCGGAAUCAUUGGGCGUAAAGAGCUCGUAGGCGGCUUAGUAAGUCGGGUGUGAAAACCCCAGCUCAACCUGGGGACGCCACCCGAUACUGCUAUAGCUAGAGUCCAGUAGGGGAGUGUGGAAUUCCCAGUGUAGCGGUGAAAUGCGCAGAUAUUGGGAGGAACACCAGCGGCGAAGGCGGCACUCUGGGCUGGUACUGACGCUGAGGAGCGAAAAGCGUGGGUAGCGAACAGG
rnacentral:rRNA from 1 species